GAUGAACGCUAGCGGGAGGCUUAACACAUGCAAGUCGAGGGGCAGCAUAGAGUAGCAAUACUUUGAUGGCGACCGGCGCACGGGUGAGUAACGCGUAUGUAACCUACCCUGUACAGGGGGAUAGCCCGGAGAAAUUCGGAUUAAUACCCCAUAAUGAUAUCGAGAGGCAUCUUUUGAUAUUUAAAGCUUCGGCGGUACGGGAUGGGCAUGCGUGACAUUAGCUAGUUGGUAAGGUAACGGCUUACCAAGGCUGCGAUGUCUAGGGGUCCUGAGAGGGUGAUCCCCCACACCGGUACUGAGACACGGACCAGACUCCUACGGGAGGCAGCAGUGAGGAAUAUUGGUCAAUGGGCGUAAGCCUGAACCAGCCAUCCCGCGUGAAGGAAGAAGGCGCUAUGCGUCGUAAACUUCUUUUCCAGAGGAAUAAAAUUUUGUACGCGUACAGAACUGAAGGUACUCUGGGAAUAAGCAUCGGCUAACUCCGUGCCAGCCGCCGCCGUAAGAC
rnacentral:rRNA from 1 species